AUGAUUAGGGAGCUCUCAAUUAUCUCAUGGAACGUGCGGGGUCUGGGUAGACACAAAAAAUGCACGGAUGUAAAAUCGUCUCUCUCCUCAUCCACUUGUUCGGUCCUCUGUCUUCAAGAAUCUAAACUUCAAGAGAUCACCCACUUCAAGGCUAUCUCGUUUCUUCCCACCAAUCUGCGCAAUUUCCAUCUAAUCCCCUCCAAUGGUGCCUCGGGUGGGAUUAUCACCGCCUGGGAUGACAGCAUUUUUGACUGCUCAAAAAUCGUCAAAGGGGACUACGCUUUAACUUGCUGGUUUGAAUCACGUGCAGACAGCCUAGUUUUUGCCGUCACCAAUGUCUAUGGACCCUGCGACUCUGCCUCCAAGCCUCUCUUCUUGCAAUCCUUGGUUGAUUUGAUGCCUGCUAUCUCUUGACCCUGGACAAUCAUCGGUGACUUUAAUCUUACUCUCCGGCCCUCCGAUAAAUCCACGACGCACAUCAGUAUGGCCGAGGCUAAUCUUUUCGCUUCUGCAAUUAACACUCUCCAGCUCUAGGAUCUCCCUCUCCUCGAUAGGCGCUUUACUUGGUCUAACCAACAAGACGUGCCUAUCCUGGUUCGGCUCGAUAGAGCCCUUGCCAACGUUGCAUGGGCUACGACUUUCCCCGACACCUCUCUCUCUUUGAUCACCCGUACAACUUCCGACCAC
rnacentral:rRNA from 1 species